UAGAAAUGAUAUUUGGAGCAGAUGUAAAAAAUCCUAAAGAAGAUUGCUAAAGUAAAUCAAGUACACUUUCCAUUCCAGUUUGAAGCUGUGGCAUAGCUUCUUCAGAAAUUAGCAGUCACUCGGCUCAGUUCAGAAGAUUAUUUGCCUUGCUAUUCCAGGUGUUAUGAUCAGAGCGCAGACAAGACCCAGCUGAUAGCUGCAGAGCUUAGGCAAAAAAGGUACUUAAUUUUUUCAUGGCUUGUGUAAACAAAUAUUGGAACUAUAUAGUAUAUAGCACAGAAUGCCAAAGCUUCUUGCAAAUUUUCUUUUGAACGUUCAAAUUGUGAGACUUAAUCCUCCUAAGUUAUUUUUCUCAGAAAACUGUACUUAUAAAAAGAAUUGAUAGCAAGAGGUAUCAGAAUGUGAAAACAUACCAUAGUAUUUGUCUGAAAUUGGUUUCUGAAACUUGCUUCUUAUUCAGACUUGGCCUUUAGACUUUCCUGUCUUCUCUGGCAUUAGUCAAGACCAAAGGAGAAAGCUUGCUAACUCUUGUAAAAUUCAGCUUUCUUUACAAUGCAGGUUUUCAGAUCCUGUGUGCCAGCUUCCAUAUCAAUUGCGUGACUUCACAUGGGCUUUGGGUCAAGCCUCAGGUGACAAAAUGAAUUUACUUUUUAUGAAUACAUUUUUUUUCAUAUCGUUAUCUGGCCCCCGGUACUGGAGUAUUCCUUACCUUGGAGAUCAGAUUAAUAGUAUAUACUCGUAGGAACUCAUUUUGUAUCUUGAAGCCUUUAGGUUACACAUCCCAUUGCAGGCUAAAGAAUUAUCUGAUUACAAUUUCAAGUCUUCUACUGCAGUUGACCUUCUAAUUUGCUUUAAACACUUUUAUUUCAGAACUCAUGGAAAAAUACCUUGCAUAUCACUGAAUAUAAAUAACAGAGGUUAAGAGCCAUCUAGAAAAAAAGCUCAAAUGUGGUUUGAUCCAAUCUGCAAUGCUGCAGACUGGGAGAUGGCCUGUGAAGUUUUGUACUGACAGACCUAGAUAAAAUUUUAGAAGAGAAAAAUCUGAGCAACUGCAGCUGUCUGGCAUUCCCCAUUAUCCAGUUUCCAUGGAUACAAGCAUUAGAAAUUUUGAAGUCAGAAAGACUAAGAAAAGGAGAAAAAUCG
ensembl:lncRNA